CCCCCGCCUGGAAGAGCAGACACUGAAUGUACCUUCAAAGUAAUAACUUGUGGCCCUGGUUGAUCUGUAGAUGACCCUGGCCAGCAUCUGGUUGUCAGGCUGUGUUUAAACACAUGCAUUCAACUGGCAAAGAGGACUUUAAAUAAAUCACAAGUGUAAUUGGCAAACACCAGGAAGGGUUGCGCUGCAGGGACAUGCUCUGGACACCCUGCUCCAGGACUACAGUGGACAGCAGGCCCUGGCUGUCCUAACGUGCUGUGCUAACAGGAAACCAAUCCAUCCGGGUUUAUUCCCUGCCCUACUCUUUCCACUUCUGUAACUGUGUAACUUCAAUAACCUUUGUAAGGUCGGUAGCUCCAGCAAAAGAAAGAAAAAGACGGACAGACCAGUGUAAAUCCAGCUAUCGGCUGAGGUGGCCCAGCCCAGGGAGCAGCCCAGCAGACAAACUAGGAACCCACUCUAGACCCCAGUGAUCUCUGCACAGACGCAGAACUGGCUUCAUCCAAGCCUGGAAGGCGGUGUGCUGACCGUGUACUCCGACACUGACCUUUGGUUUGCCAGCCCGGUUGGUAACCAGCCUGAUGUCCUUCACGGUGCCAUGAGCCUUACAGAUCUCUUCAAGUUCCUCUUUAGUGCAGGAAAAGGGGGGAAACAAACAUUGGCCUCCCGCCUACAUUCUUCCGGUCCAACUGCAGCGCCUGCAGGGCCGACUUCUCCUCCUUGAACUCCACGUAGCAGUAGCCUCGGAAAUCGCCCCGGUUGCUGAAGAUGGGGCGGACCUCGA